GCAGUCGAGCGGAAACGAGUUAUCUGAACCUUCGGGGGACGAUAACGGCGUCGAGCGGCGGACGGGUGAGUAAUGCCUAGGAAAUUGCCCUGAUGUGGGGGAUAACCAUUGGAAACGAUGGCUAAUACCGCAUGAUGCCUACGGGCCAAAGAGGGGGACCUUCGGGCCUCUCGCGUCAGGAUAUGCCUAGGUGGGAUUAGCUAGUUGGUGAGGUAAGGGCUCACCAAGGCGACGAUCCCUAGCUGGUCUGAGAGGAUGAUCAGCCACACUGGAACUGAGACACGGUCCAGACUCCUACGGGAGGCAGCAGUGGGGAAUAUUGCACAAUGGGCGCAAGCCUGAUGCAGCCAUGCCGCGUGUGUGAAGAAGGCCUUCGGGUUGUAAAGCACUUUCAGUCGUGAGGAAGGUAAUGUAGUUAAUAGCUGCAUUAUUUGACGUUAGCGACA
rnacentral:rRNA from 1 species